CCCCCCCCCCCCCCCCCCCCCCCCCCCCCCCCCCCCCCCCCCCCCCCCCCCCCCCCCCCCCCCCCCCCCCCCCCCCCCCCCCCCCCCCCCCCCCCCCCCCCCCCCCCCCCCCCCCCCCCCCCCCCCCCCCCCCCCCCCCCCCCCCUCCACCCCCAUUUCUGCCUUCACGCUCCAACCGUGGCGGAUUUGGGGUUAUUGACUGAAGUCUGUUGGGGGGGGGGGGGGUGGUUAUUUUUUGCUCCCCCACCCCCAAAAAUGCCACUUUUCCACCCAAAUCUCCCAUUGCUCACCAUGGGGACGGGGGUGGGGGGCAGAGCCCUUUUAUUCUGCCCCUUUUUGGGCCUUUUUCCACCCAAAACCGCCACCAUCUCCCAUUGCUCACCAUGGGGAGGGUGGGGGGGAGGGCAGAGCCCUUUUAUUCUGCCCCUUUUCGGGCCUUUUUCCACCCAAAACCACCGCCAUCUCCCAUUGCUCACCAUGGGGAGGGUGGAGAGGGUGAGGGGGGGCAGAGCCCUUUUAUUUUGCCCCUUUUCGGGCCUUUUUCCACCCAAAACGCGGCCCCUGUUGCGGAGAGAAGUGGGGUUACAGCACACAAAUACACUCUUUCCCUGCGUUGGCCGCUACGUUCCCUUUUUGGGUUCAAACGCUCAACUCUUGCCACUUACCACCAAAUUUAUUGAAGCCACCACGCUCACCACCGCUGAGGAGAUAAAUUAGAAGAUAUGAAGCUUUUUUUUUUGGGUUUUUUUUGUUUUUUUUUUUGGUUUUUCGUUCAUUUUAUGCUUUUGAAGGGGGGGGGGGGCAGUUUUAUAAUCCCUGAAUUGCUUUAUUUUGUUGUUAUUUUUUUUGGGGGGGGGUAAAACCGGCGUUUUUCCUCCAUCCUGAAGCCCCUCUGUGCUUUGUUUUGGGGGGGGGGGGGGGGGGGGGGGGGGGGCGGUUUUGGGGUAUUUUGGGGGGGGUUUUGGGGGUCUCCAUCCGUCGUUGACGCUCCUCUCGCACGCAGCGCUGCCCAAUGGGGGGGUGGGGUGGGAUUGGGUGGGAUUUUGGGGGGGGGGGGGGUCAGAAAAUGGCUAAAAACGCCGAUUGGAGCUCUUUGCGGCCGUUCUGAAGGAUCCCUGCGGGGCACCUUUGGGCCCGGCGUACAAAAAGGCUUUGGCCCCCUUUUUUUGGGGUCGUUUUCCCUGCUUUCCGCACACCCCACACGGUUGUGGGUCGUUCCCCCCCCCCCAAAAUGAAUCCUAAAGUUGGGGAAAAAAAAAACCAAAAACCACAAAAAUGCCCAAAUCAAACGGCCGUUUGACCCUAAAAAAAUGAACCCCGGGCAAUGUGGCCCUUUGGGGGGCGUUUUUCUAUGGGGUUUUUUCCCUGCUUUCUGCAGACCCCCCCCCUGUAGGACCGCCCCCCCCCCCCCAUCUCAUUUUACUGUAUCCAAAAGUUGGGAAAAACCCAAAUCUGCCUUUUUUUGGGGGGGGCCGCUCCAAAAAUGGCUCUUUGGCACUUUCUGACCUCAAAAAUAAAAGCCCUGUGGCCCUUUUUUGGGGGCCUUUUUGGGGCCGUUUUUGGCCCUUUUGGGGUCUUUUUCGGCCUUUCUUGGCCCUUUUGGUGCCUUUUGGGGGUAAUUUUGGCCCUUUUGGAGUCUUUUUUGGUCUUUCAGGGGCCUUUUCUGGUCUUUCUGGGGUCUUUUUUGGCUCUUUUAGAGCCCUUUUUGGCCUUUCUGGGGAUUUUUUUGGGCCCUUUUAGAGCCUUUUUUGGCCUUUCUGGGGCCUUUUCUGGCUGUUUUGGGGCCCUUUUUGGCCUUUUGGGGCUUUUUUUGGCCCUUUUGGGGCCUUUUUUGGCCUUCCUGAGGUCUUU
ensembl:lncRNA